GGAUCCCAGCGGAAACCAGAGGUGGGAGGGCUCUUCCUGCCCAGGGGAGGCUUCCCAGGAGUGUGAGGGAUUUACAAUCGCCUCCUCUCGCUCCCUGUCCUCUGCAGAGCUGCUCUGAAGGCCAUGUGCAGUGGCAGGCUGCAGACAGCUUUGCUGGUGGCUGGCUAUUUUGUCUACCUGCUGGUGGGUGCUGCCGUGUUCCAGGCCCUGGAGAGGACUGCUGAGAAACAAGAGAAAAUGGCAGCUGCCCAGAUGAAGGAGGCUUUUCUGCAGAACUUCACGCAGCUCACGGUGGCUGAGAUGGAGCAGUUCAUGAAGAACCUGAUUGAAGCCAUUCAAAAUGGAGUAUACCCUGUUGGGAAUGAAUCACAGUUUGAAGAGAGCAACUGGGAUUUCAGCAACUCCUUCUUCUUUGCAGGCACAGUUGUCUCCACAAUAGGCUAUGGCACAUUACAUCCUAAAACUGCUGGGGGACAGAUCUUUUGUGUGUUUUUUGCUCUUUUUGGAAUCCCUCUGAACAUUGUUUUUCUGCACCGUGUUGGUAAGAUGCUCUCACUGCUCUGUAAAAAGCUGGGGAAAUUCCUGUACGAGAAAGGAAUGAGAAAGAAGAAGAUCAAAUUUCUGACCCUUUUGUUCUUCCUGGCGACGGGGAUCCUGGUUUUUCUGUUCUUGCCAUCAGUCUUCUUCCAGAUAACAGAGGGCUGGUCCUACAGUGAAGGAAUUUACUUUGCAUUUAUCACCCUCAGCACCAUUGGCUUCGGAGAUUAUGUAGUAGGCAAACAGUCUGACAGGAAAUACUUUUCCUACUAUCGAGUGCUUGUGGCCAUUUGGAUUCUUUUUGGCCUUGCCUGGAUUGCUCUGCUGUUUAAUUUAUUGACAACAGUACUAGAAGAUACUGAAAAAAUAAUUGUCAAGGAUCUCCAGCAAAUUGGAAAGUACACAUUCCUUUGUCCCAUCCAGCUGAUGAGCUGAGAAAUGGAGCAAUCAGCCCUGUAUAAAGGAUCUGAGAGCAUAGGCACAGGUGUUCCCAGAGAAAGAAGACAAUGUGCCCUCAAGUCUGUGUAGUAAGUUCUGCACGUUGGAUUGAGAUGGUUCAUUUCUGAUGCUCACAGCUCACGCCUCAGAUAACCCACGCAUCCCGGGUGCCACCAGCACUUUGGAGGAGUCCUCCAGCUCUGUAUCCUUGGAUAACCUGCACAAGAUAAGAGCCAGAUGGCCAUCAAAACCAGGACAAACCAUCAGCUAAAGAGGGCAGACUCUGAGGAUGAGAUGCUGAAGUAGAAGGUGAAUUUGAUUCUGCCUGAAGGUGAGUUCCCCUUGCACUCCAUGUCCCUUGGUGCUGAAGUGCAGAUCUCUGUGCAGUCACCUGCUGCACUUAAGACAGCAACAGUUUGCAUUUUCUGAAAACCAAUAAACAGAAUUUAAUAAAGAAAUAAAAGGAGGAUCCCUUUGGGGCCUGCAAAACACCACGCUGGUCAUAGUAGUCUGAGAGAAAGGAGGGCACAGAUUCAAAUUUUGGCAGCAAGUCCAGAGUCUCUGUUAGCACAAAGGGUCCAGCAAGGCAGCUGCAGAUGAGUCUGUGACUUCUCACUGGCACUGAGCCACAGCAGCUUCAAAGAGAAAUGCCAUAAGAAGCUGAUUUUUCAUGUGUGAGUGUGUGUGUUCUUUUAUUAGGAAUUUUUGUAUUUCUGCCUCGUAAUAGCAGAAGGAAUAUCACGAUUUCCCAAGUGUAACAAAUUCAAUGUGUCAUACAUGCUGGAUGGAAGUAAUUUAACACGAGUGCUCUUUAAUUUCAUCGAUCUCUGGCAAAUGGGUCCUGGUUAAUGAUUGGGGGUUUGCUGUUUUUCCUUUUUAAACUCAAAUCUUUUAAAGUCCAGAUGGAGAGGGUUUGCUACAGCUGUGCAAGAACAGUGACACUGAUACAUGCUGAACUCUGCGGGUGGUAUUAAAAAUCUGUCAUCUACUUUAAAAGGAUUUUUUGAAAGUCAUUUUAAAGGGACAUCAUCAAUUUGAAGAUCACUCUGGAUCUCAUAAUAUUACAAGUAAUAUUUCAGACUAUCACAUGAAGCCAGCUGUGGGGACAGAAAUCGAUGCUAUGUGCCAAGCAAGCCUCUUUGUAUUUUUAUGAUAUUUUACACUGGAUUUUUAAAGUCUUCCAGGGAGAAGUUGCAACCCUGUGAACUGCUACUGAAUGGACAGGUAAGCCCCAGCACUGGUCACAGGCUGUUACACCAAGCCCAGCACUUCCAGCAGCAAAUAAGGGCUGGGACUGGACUCAUCCUGUGCUGAGGGGGACAUUCUUGGCAGCAGCCAGAAGCAGAGAAAUGCUGGUGUUGAUUUCCAGAAAAGAACAUUUGUUUUUUGCAACACUCCUCAGCAUUAGGACAACAUUUAGAGAUGCAAGGAAGCCUCCUGGUCCCAGCUGCUUUGGCUCCUGCUGUGACCUCCUUUGGUUUUCAUUAAAUUGUGGUUAGGACUGUUCCUUGUUCAAGGUGAGGGCUCUGAUUUACAAGGGGCUGAGGCUGCACUUUAUCUGCAGAGAGCAAAAAUGCUUCAGAGAGGGAAAGCUCUCCCCAUCUGAGAAGUUUCUGGAGUGGAAACAAUGACCAAAUCACUUGGAAAGGUAAGUCCCAGCACAGGGAAACAUGAGCCAGGUUGUGAUCUAGGAGGGGAUCAAGGAAACUAAACACUUUACAACUGCAAGUGUAUUUUAGACCUGGGGCAGGCAGCACCUUUUUGUGCCUUUUCACAACCACCUCUGUUGGCUCACCACAAAACCUGCUCCAUUUCAAAGCUCAGGGGUUUUAUGAGAUUAAUCCAUCUCAUGUCAUCUUGCAGAAGAAAUGAGGGACAUCUGGGCCUGAUGGUCUCCAGUGGGACUGAGAUGGUCUAGGACAGGGCUGGAUCAAUCUUCUCUUGGCACCCUCACUUCCAACCCAAACCAUUCUGUGAUUCAAUGAUCCAAGCCAAGAGCUGAGGUCUAGAACUGAAGUUCUGUGUUAUCUGGGCUUUUUUUCCUCUUCAGAGCAUGUGGUACCUCCAGAGGUCAUGAGGCUAAAUUAAUUAGGGGACUGGGAAGCCAACCGGUGCUACAGGAAUAUGGUGAUGGAAAUCCCUAUCCAUCAUUUUCUGCAGUCCUCUGGAUUGAUACAUAUUGAUCAGCUGGAUCCCAGCAGCUGAUAACUAGUGCUCAGUAUCUGCAUUUUCUGUAGAAUCAUUGUGUGACAUGCAUUUUUUAAAAAAACCCCUCCAUUUAUCGCAGCCUUUUUGCAUAAAUUUAAAUAACUGGAUUCCAUUUAUUUAGUUGAAAGCAUUCUGCACGACACAUCUUGCUUGGCGUUACAGCUACAAGUGCUAAAAGCCCCCAGGAAGAACCAGUGCUUAUGGAAAGCCUCCCCAGCACCCCAUAAACACGGAGAGGACCGUGGGGAUGAUGGUCUGUGCUGUGGCAGGGAAAGGAGCCCCUGCCAGGCACCAAACCCAGCCUCCAGCUGUCUCCUGGGGACACCAGAAGUGCCCUGGGGAGGAUCUCAUUUCCCUGACUGGAACACGGUGAUUGCAGAGAUCUCUGCUGCAGGCACACAGAGCAGAGGGAGAGGAGGCUGGAGGCUGAUGCAGCAGCCAGGACAGAGCAGUGGGAGCUGAAGGUGUGGGCAGAAAUCUGGGAGUGAGCAGAGAGGGCUCCCAGCUGGGUGGUGUGGUCAGAGCUCCCUCUCCUGACGGGCCAGCACCGUCCCUUCAGGAUUUGACCUCGGUUUUUACCCUCUCUGAGGGAUGGAAGCAGAGUCAGGACUUUUCCUGGUGUCCCUCAGCUCUCUAGGAAGCACCCGACUUUACACCCCAACUCCUCUCUGGUCAAACAGCGAGCAAGAAUAUAAAGCAAAUACAUGUAUCUUUAAUUAAAUUCCAGGCAGCACUGGUGCUGCUUAAUCUUCUGAAAAGAGCCAACACUGCUAUUUCCCUCAUAAGCUGGAGUUUCCUUCCAGCCUGACAAGGUGAUACACUGCAGCCCUUUAUCUGAGGAAUGGCACAUUUUAUUUUUCUUUUCCUUGCCCUGGUGAUCCGUGUGUAAUUUCAUUUAGCAACACCAGUGUGCUAGGCUGCCUGGAAGGGAAAAUCCUCACACUUAAAGGGCUGAUCCAGAGAACCAGUUCCUGAGGAGCAGCCAAACAUCUUUUGCAGCAUCUUGGCAUAUUGAGACUUUUCUAAUUUGGCUUUACAUUUCCUAGAAAUUGUUGAAGAAAUGUGUUUGUCAGUGAGGCUGCAGACCCAGAGGGAGCACCCAGCUUGUCACCAUUUAUUUUAGCCUCUGAUUUCUUUUGGACUUCAACUAAACUCGUCAUGGGGGUAGAGAAACAAACCAAAAAAUCCCCACUAAAUAACAAAAGCCAUAGAUACAUUAUGCAGCCAUUGCAUUUUGCAAUCUAAUUACUUUAACAUGUAGGGAUGGAGGAGGGGGUUAUUGCUCAUAAUACCGGAAAGCUUUCACAGAAUAACACAGAAUUAUUAAACUUUUCAGAAAGGAUCCAGUUUGCAGUUCCCACUGCACGUUUACCUGGGCGAUUUUCCCUUUUCCUGUGGCCGAGAAUCACUUUGUAUUACACUUCCCUGCCUAUAAAAGAAGCCCUUGUUCAUAGCUGCCCUGAGGUGCUCAUAAUGUUAUUGGUUCUGUGCUAAGAAGUUGGGGUUGCUGUGAAUUCCUGCCUUGUGGCUCUCCAGCUCACAAAAGUAAACACAUUUGCUGAGUUAGCUCGGCUUCAUGGUGCCCAAGAUCCCACAGGGAAUGAAAC